GUUUAGGGGUAAACCUGAGAAACCCGAAAGGUCGAAGAGAGAAAUUCAUCGCGGUUUCGUGGCAGGCGUCGCACGGUGUCGAGCUACGGAUCUCUGUCGGAGUUUAUUCUUCGGCGUGAUUCGUACCCGCCGUACGUUCUGUCCGGUCGCGAACGCGUGCACUUUUCUCUUGGUAGGACGUUGCGAUCCGUUCGGUGUCGGUCUACGGCACGCGGUGGAGCCCGUUUGCGCUCGCGUUUAUUCGCGUGCGUCGGCGGACCCGCGUUGUCCCGGCCGACUCGCCAGACGGUAUAAGAAAGAUCGCGGGCCGCCCCCUAAAAAGGCGUUCGACUCGCGACAAGCGCGCCGGUUUCGGUCGGUGAUCGGACCCAGUGCCGAUUCUGACCGCCGGUGACUGUUGGUCGUCGAAGUUCUCGAACAGCGCCCUCAGAUCGAUCUGCGACGCUAUAGCUUUGGGUACUUUCAGGACCCGUCUUGAAACACGGACCAAGGAGUCUAGCAUGUGCGCGAGUCAUUGGGACAAACUCGAAACCUAAAGGCACAGUGAAAGUAAAAAUUCUCCUCGCGAGAAUUUAGGGAAGACGGGUGUAACGGUUCGGCCGCCGCCUCGCAUUCCCGGGGCGUCUCGUUCUCAUUGCGAGAUGAGGCGCACCAAGAGCGUACACGCUGGGACCCGAAAGAUGGUGAACUAUGCCUGGUCAGGACGAAGUCAGGGGAAACCCUGAUGGAGGUCCGUAGCGAUUCUGACGUGCAAAUCGAUCGUCGGAACUGGGUAUAGGGGCGAAAGACUAAUCGAACCAUC
rnacentral:rRNA from 1 species